rnacentral:rRNA from 1 species
UGGGGAAUAUUGCGCAAUGGACGAAAGUCUGACGCAGCGACGCCGCGUGUGGGAGGAAGCUCUUCGGGGUGUAAACCACUGUCAGGAGGGAAGAACGGCGCCGGUUCGAACAGUUCCGGCGAUUGACGGUACCUCCAAAGGAAGCGCCGGCUAACUCCGUGCCAGCAGCCGCGGUAAGACGGAGGGCGCAAGCGUUGUUCGGAAUUACUGGGCGUAAAGCGCGGGCAGGCGGUCUGUUAAGUCGUUUGUGAAAAUCCGGGGCUCAACCCCGGAAAUGCAUACGAUACUGGCAGGCUGGAGACUGGUAGAGGCUAGCGGAAUUCCUGGUGUAGCGGUGGAAUGCGUAGAUAUCAGGAGGAACACCUGAGGUGAAGACGGGUUGCUGGGCUGACACUGACGCUGAGGCGCGAAAGCCAGGGGAGCAAACGGGAUUAGAUACCCACGUAGUCCCUGAGCGGGCUGGCAAGGCGCAU